UCAGUCGGCCGGACGGCCGCUCCGGCAAGUGCCGAAAGGCCGCCGGGGAGGAAAGUCCGGGCUCCCUUGACAUACGGUGCCGGAUAACGUCCGGCGGGGGCAACCCCAGGGAAAGUGCCACAGAGAACGAACCGCCCGCCUCCGCAGCGCAAGCUGCGAAGGCAGGUAAGGGUGAAAAGGUGCGGUAAGAGCGCACCGCGGAUCCGGCAACGGAGCCGGCAUGGUAAACCCCACCGGGAGCAAAACCGAAUAGGGACGGCGUAGCGGGCUGUUCGCGCAAGCGAUAACGCCGCGGGGCGAUGUCAGGCCCGCCGUCCGGGUAGGUUGCUCGAGGCCAUGUGCAAACAUGGUCCCAGAGGAAUGGCCGUCACGUAUCGUUCGCGCAAGCGGACGGUGCCUUACAGAACCCGGCUUACAGGCCGGCUGAUAUU
rnacentral:RNase_P_RNA from 1 species